rnacentral:lncRNA from 1 species
GGUUUCUGAACUCAGCUCAUCUUGCUGGGGAUACGGUUCAUUCAUGACUUCCACAGCUGCGCUAAAGAAAAUAUCAUAAACCAGAUUUAUGGGGACGACAGCCUGUAGCGAACGAAGAACAUGGUCGACAAGCCGAGCAGUGGGGUAAAAGGAUAGCGGUAGGAUAACAGGAUAAACAUACCAGGCCUACAUUAUGAGCUUCUGAAUCUCCAACUUCUGAACCCGCAGGCUC